UAACACGUGGAUAACCUGCCUCAAGGCUGGGGAUAACAUUUGGAAACAGAUGCUAAUACCGAAUAAAACUUAGUAUCGCAUGAUAUCAAGUUAAAAGGCGCUACGGCGUCACCUAGAGAUGGAUCCGCGGUGCAUUAGUUAGUUGGUGGGGUAAAGGCUUACCAAGACGAUGAUGCAUAGCCGAGUUGAGAGACUGAUCGGCCACAUUGGGACUGAGACACGGCCCAAACUCCUACGGGAGGCUGCAGUAGGGAAUCUUCCACAAUGGGCGCAAGCCUGAUGGAGCAACGCCGCGUGUGUGAUGAAGGCUUUCGGGUCGUAAAGCACUGUUGUAUGGGAAGAAAUGCUAAAAUAGGGAAUGAUUUUAGUUUGACGGUACCAUACCAGAAAGGGACGGCUAAAUACGUGCCAGCAGCCGCGGUAAUACGUAUGUCCCGAGCGUUAUCCGGAUUUAUUGGGCGUAAAGCGAGCGCAGACGGUUGAUUAAGUCUGAUGUGAAAGCCCGGAGCUCAACUCCGGAAUGGCAUUGGAAACUGGUUAACUUGAGUGUUGUAGAGGUAAGUGGAACUCCAUGUGUAGCGGUGGAAUGCGUAGAUAUAUGGAAGAACACCAGUGGCGAAGGCGGCUUACUGGACAACAACUGACGUUGAGGCUCGAAAGUGUGGGUAGCAAACAGGAUUAGAUACCCUGGUAGUCCACACCGUAAACGAUGAAUACUAGGUGUUAGGAGGUUUCCGCCUCUUAGUGCCGAAGCUAACGCAUUAAGUAUUCCGCCUGGGGAGUACGACCGCAAGGUUGAAACUCAAAGGAAUUGACGGGGACCCGCACAAGCGGUGGAGCAUGUGGUUUAAUUCGAAGCAACGCGAAGAACCUUACCAGGUCUUGACAUCCUUUGAAGCUUUUAGAGAUAGAAGUGUUCUCUUCGGAGACAAAGUGACAGGUGGUGCAUGGUCGUCGUCAGCUCGUGUCGUGAGAUGUUGGGUUAAGUCCCGCAACGAGCGCAACCCUUAUUGUUAGUUGCCAGCAUUCAGUUGGGCACUCUAGCGAGACUGCCGGUGACAAACCGGAGGAAGGCGGGGACGACGUCAGAUCAUCAUGCCCCUUAUGACCUGGGCUACACACGUGCUACAAUGGCGUAUACAACGAGUUGCCAACCUGCGAAGGUGAGCUAAUCUCUUAAAGUACGUCUCAGUUCGGACUGCAGUCUGCAACUCGACUGCACGAAGUCGGAAUCGCUAGUAAUCGCGGAUCAGCACGCCGCGGUGAAUACGUUCCCGGGUCUUGUACACACCGCCCGUCACACCAUGGGAGUUUGUAAUGCCCAAAGCCGGUGGCCUAACC
rnacentral:rRNA from 1 species